CCUACGGGUGGCAGCAGUGGGGAAUAUUGCACAAUGGGGGAAACCCUGAUGCAGCGACGCCGCGUGAGUGAAGAAGUAUUUCGGUAUGUAAAGCUCUAUCAGCAGGGAAGAUAAUGACAGUACCUGACUAAGAAGCCCCGGCUAACUACGUGCCAGCAGCCGCGGUAAUACGUAGGGGGCAAGCGUUAUCCGGAUUUACUGGGUGUAAAGGGAGCGUAGACGGAAUGGCAAGUCUGAAGUGAAAUACCCGGGCUCAACCUGGGAACUGCUUUGGAAACUGUUGUUCUAGAGUGUUGGAGAGGUAAGUGGAAUUCCUGGUGUAGCGGUGAAAUGCGUAGAUAUCAGGAAGAACACCGGAGGCGAAGGCGGCUUACUGGACAAUAACUGACGUUGAGGCUCGAAAGCGUGGGGAUCAAACAGGAUUAGAUACCCCAGUAGUC
rnacentral:rRNA from 1 species